AGUCGCCGCGGGAAUACGUAGGGCGCAAGCGUUAUCCGGAAUUAUUGGGCGUAAAGAGCUCGUAGGCGGUUUGUCGCGUCUGCCGUGAAAGUCCGGGGCUCAACCCCGGAUCUGCGGUGGGUACGGGCAGACUAGAGUGAUGUAGGGGAGACUGGAAUUCCUGGUGUAGCGGUGAAAUGCGCAGAUAUCAGGAGGAACACCGAUGGCGAAGGCAGGUCUCUGGGCAUUAACUGACGCUGAGGAGCGAAAGCAUGGGGAGCGAACAGGAUUAGAUACCCCUGUAGUCCCUGUCUCUUAUACA
rnacentral:rRNA from 1 species